UACAGAGGUCUCAAGCGUUGUUCGGAUUCAUUGGCCGUAAAGGGUGCGUAGGUGGCGUGGUAAGUCGGGUGUGAAAUUUCGGAGCUUAACUCCGAAACUGCAUUCGAUACUGCUGUGCUUGAGGACUGGAGAGGAGACUGGAAUUUACGGUGUAGCAGUGAAAUGCGUAGAGAUCGUAAGGAAGACCAGUGGCGAAGGCGGGUCUCUGGACAGUUCCUGACACUGAGGCACGAAGGCCAGGGGAGCAAACGGG
rnacentral:rRNA from 1 species